rnacentral:rRNA from 1 species
GCGAGUGGCGAACGGGUGAGUAAUAUAUCGGAACGUACCCUGGAGUGGGGGAUAACGUAGCGAAAGUUACGCUAAUACCGCAUACGAUCUAAGGAGGAAAGUGGGGGACCUUCGGGCCUUACGCUGAUGGAGCGGCUGAUGUCGGAUUAGCUAGUUGGUAGGGUAAAGGCCUACCAAGGCGACGAUCCGUAGCUGGUCUGAGAGGACGACCAGCCACACUGGAACUGAGACACGGUCCAGACUCC